UGGAAAUUACGCAUACUAUACAUGCAGUCGAGCGAACAGAUAAGGAGCUUGCUCCUUUGAAGUUAGCGGCGGACGGGUGAGUAACACGUGGGUAACCUACCUAUAAGACUGGGAUAACUUCGGGAAACCGGAGCUAAUACCGGAUAACAUUUAGAACCGCAUGGUUCUAAAGUGAAAGAUGGUUUUGCUAUCACUUAUAGAUGGACCCGCGCCGUAUUAGCUAGUUGGUAAGGUAACGGCUUACCAAGGCGACGAUACGUAGCCGACCUGAGAGGGUGAUCGGCCACACUGGAACUGAGACACGGUCCAGACUCCUACGGGAGGCAGCAGUAGGGAAUCUUCCGCAAUGGGCGAAAGCCUGACGGAGCAACGCCGCGUGAGUGAUGAAGGGUUUCGGCUCGUAAAACUCUGUUAUUAGGGAAGAACAAAUGUGUAAGUAACUGUGCACAUCUUGACGGUACCUAAUCAGAAAGCCACGGCUAACUACGUGCCAGCAGCCGCGGUAAUACGUAGGUGGCAAGCGUUAUCCGGAAUUAUUGGGCGUAAAGCGCGCGUAGGCGGUUUCUUAAGUCUGAUGUGAAAGCCCACGGCUCAACCGUGGAGGGUCAUUGGAAACUGGGAAACUUGAGUGCAGAAGAGGAAAGUGGAAUUCCAUGUGUAGCGGUGAAAUGCGCAGAGAUAUGGAGGAACACCAGUGGCGAAGGCGACUUUCUGGUCUGUAACUGACGCUGAUGUGCGAAAGCGUGGGGAUCAAACAGGAUUAGAUACCCUGGUAGUCCACGCCGUAAACGAUGAGUGCUAAGUGUUAGGGGGUUUCCGCCCCUUAGUGCUGCAGCUAACGCAUUAAGCACUCCGCCUGGGGAGUACGACCGCAAGGUUGAAACUCAAAGGAAUUGACGGGGACCCGCACAAGCGGUGGAGCAUGUGGUUUAAUUCGAAGCAACGCGAAGAACCUUACCAAAUCUUGACAUCCUUUGAAAACUCUAGAGAUAGAGCCUUCCCCUUCGGGGGACAAAGUGACAGGGGUGCAUGGUUGUCGUCAGCUCGUGUCGUGAG
rnacentral:rRNA from 2 species